GGGGGCGUGGCGGAACAGGCAGACGCAAGGGACUUAAAAUCCCUCGACCAUCACGGUCAUCCGGGUUCGAGCCCCGGCGCCCCCACCA
rnacentral:tRNA from 1 species